rnacentral:rRNA from 1 species
UGGGGAAUAUUGCACAAUGGGGGAAACCCUGAUGCAGCGACGCCGCGUGAACGAAGAAGGUAUUCGUAUCGUAAAGUUCUGUCCUAUGGGAAGAUAAUGACAGUACCAUAGAAGAAAGCUCCGGCUAAAUACGUGCCAGCAGCCGCGGUAAUACGUAUGGAGCGAGCGUUGUCCGGAAUUAUUGGGCGUAAAGGGUACGCAGGCGGUUUAAUAAGUCGAAUGUUAAAGAUCGGGGCUCAACCCCGUAAAGCAUUGGAAACUGAUAAACUUGAGUAGUGGAGAGGGAAGUGGAAUUCCUAGUGUAGUGGUGAAAUACGUAGAUAUUAGGAGGAAUACCAGUAGCGAAGGCGACUUUCUGGGCACAAACUGACGCUGAGGUACGAAAGCGUGGGGAGCAAACAGG